rnacentral:rRNA from 1 species
AGGACGAACGCUGGCGGCGUGCUUAACACAUGCAAGUCGAGCGGAAAGGCCCUUCGGGGUACUCGAGCGGCGAACGGGUGAGUAACACGUGAGCAAUCUGCCCCUAGCUUCGGGAUAGCUCCGGGAAACCGGAAUUAAUACCGAAUACGACUACGGCCGACAUCGGCUGUGGUGGAAAGUUUUUCGGCUAGGGAUGAGCUCGCGGCCUAUCAGCUUGUUGGUGAGGUAACGGCUCACCAAGGCGACG